GACGAACGCUGGCGGCGUGCUUAACACAUGCAAGUCGAACGGAAAGGCCUGCUUUCCCUUGUGGAUUGCGGGUACUCGAGUGGCGAACGGGUGAGUAACACGUGAGUGAUCUGCCCCCAACUUGGGUAUAAGCCUGGGAAACUGGGUCUAAUUCCCGAUAGGGCUGCAGGGUGGUGCCUGUGGUGGAAAACGGUUUUCUAGUGGUUGGGGAUGAGCUCGCGGCCUAUCAGCUUGUUGGUGGGGUAAUGGCCUACCACGGCGGCGACGGGUAGCCGGCCUGAGAGGGGGGACGGCCACAUUGUGACUGAGAUACCGCCCAGACUCCUACGGGAGGCAGGAGUUGGGAAUAUUGCACAAUGGGCGGAAGCCUGAUGCAGCGACGCCGCGUGGGGGAUGACGGCCUUCGGGUUGUAAACUCCUUUCGACCGCGAGGAAGCCACCUGGUUGGAAGGGUGGUGACGGUAGUGGUAGAAGAAGCACCGGCUAACUACGUG
rnacentral:rRNA from 1 species